rnacentral:rRNA from 1 species
GGUUAAGCGACUAAGCGUACACGGUGGAUGCCCUGGCAGUCAGAGGCGAUGAAGGACGUGCUAAUCUGCGAUAAGCGUCGGUGAGGUGAUAUGAACCGUUAUAACCGGCGAUUUCCGAAUGGGGAAACCCAGUGUGUUUCGACACACUAUCAUUAACUGAAUCCAUAGGUUAAUGAGGCGAACCGGGGGAACUGAAACAUCUAAGUACCCCGAGGAAAAGAAAUCAACCGAGAUUCCCCCAGUAGCGGCGAGCGAACGGGGAGGAGCCCAGAGCCUGAAUCAGUGUGUGUGUUAGUGGAAGCGUCUGGAAAGGCGCGCGAUACAGGGUGACAGCCCCGUACACAAAAAUGCACAUACUGUGAGCUCGAUGAGUAGGGCGGGACACGUGGUAUCCUGUCUGAAUAUGGGGGGACCAUCCUCCAAGGCUAAAUACUCCUGACUGACCGAUAGUGAACCAGUACCGUGAGGGAAAGGCGAAAAGAACCCCGGCGAGGGGAGUGAAAAAGAACCUGAAACCGUGUACGUACAAGCAGUGGGAGCCUCUUAAUGGGGUGACUGCGUACCUUUUGUAUAAUGGGUCAGCGACUUAUAUUCUGUAGCAAGGUUAACCGAAUAGGGGAGCCGAAGGGAAACCGAGUCUUAACUGGGCGUUAAGUUGCAGGGUAUAGACCCGAAACCCGGUGAUCUAGCCAUGGGCAGGUUGAAGGUUGGGUAACACUAACUGGAGGACCGAACCGACUAAUGUUGAAAAAUUAGCGGAUGACUUGUGGCUGGGGGUGAAAGGCCAAUCAAACCGGGAGAUAGCUGGUUCUCCCCGAAAGCUAUUUAGGUAGCGCCUCGUGAAUUCAUCUCCGGGGGUAGAGCACUGUUUCGGCAAGGGGGUCAUCCCGACUUACCAACCCGAUGCAAACUGCGAAUACCGGAGAAUGUUAUCACGGGAGACACACGGCGGGUGCUAACGUCCGUCGUGAAGAGGGAAACAACCCAGACCGCCAGCUAAGGUCCCAAAGUCAUGGUUAAGUGGGAAACGAUGUGGGAAGGCCCAGACAGCCAGGAUGUUGGCUUAGAAGCAGCCAUCAUUUAAAGAAAGCGUAAUAGCUCACUGGUCGAGUCGGCCUGCGCGGAAGAUGUAACGGGGCUAAACCAUGCACCGAAGCUGCGGCAGCGACACUAUGUGUUGUUGGGUAGGGGAGCGUUCUGUAAGCCUGUGAAGGUGGCCUGUGAGGGUUGCUGGAGGUAUCAGAAGUGCGAAUGCUGACAUAAGUAACGAUAAAGCGGGUGAAAAGCCCGCUCGCCGGAAGACCAAGGGUUCCUGUCCAACGUUAAUCGGGGCAGGGUGAGUCGACCCCUAAGGCGAGGCCGAAAGGCGUAGUCGAUGGGAAACAGGUUAAUAUUCCUGUACUUGGUGUUACUGCGAAGGGGGGACGGAGAAGGCUAUGUUGGCCGGGCGACGGUUGUCCCGGUUUAAGCGUGUAGGCUGGUUUUCCAGGCAAAUCCGGAAAACCAAGGCUGAGGCGUGAUGACGAGGCACUACGGUGCUGAAGCGACAAAUGCCCUGCUUCCAGGAAAAGCCUCUAAGCAUCAGGUAACAUCAAAUCGUACCCCAAACCGACACAGGUGGUCAGGUAGAGAAUACCAAGGCGCUUGAGAGAACUCGGGUGAAGGAACUAGGCAAAAUGGUGCCGUAACUUCGGGAGAAGGCACGCUGAUAUGUAGGUGAAGCGACUUGCUCGUGGAGCUGAAAUCAGUCGAAGAUACCAGCUGGCUGCAACUGUUUAUUAAAAACACAGCACUGUGCAAACACGAAAGUGGACGUAUACGGUGUGACGCCUGCCCGGUGCCGGAAGGUUAAUUGAUGGGGUUAGCGGUAACGCGAAGCUCUUGAUCGAAGCCCCGGUAAACGGCGGCCGUAACUAUAACGGUCCUAAGGUAGCGAAAUUCCUUGUCGGGUAAGUUCCGACCUGCACGAAUGGCGUAAUGAUGGCCAGGCUGUCUCCACCCGAGACUCAGUGAAAUUGAACUCGCUGUGAAGAUGCAGUGUACCCGCGGCAAGACGGAAAGACCCCGUGAACCUUUACUAUAGCUUGACACUGAACAUUGAGCCUUGAUGUGUAGGAUAGGUGGGAGGCUUUGAAGUGUGGACGCCAGUCUGCAUGGAGCCGACCUUGAAAUACCACCCUUUAAUGUUUGAUGUUCUAACGUUGGCCCGUAAUCCGGGUUGCGGACAGUGUCUGGUGGGUAGUUUGACUGGGGCGGUCUCCUCCUAAAGAGUAACGGAGGAGCACGAAGGUUGGCUAAUCCUGGUCGGACAUCAGGAGGUUAGUGCAAUGGCAUAAGCCAGCUUGACUGCGAGCGUGACGGCGCGAGCAGGUGCGAAAGCAGGUCAUAGUGAUCCGGUGGUUCUGAAUGGAAGGGCCAUCGCUCAACGGAUAAAAGGUACUCCGGGGAUAACAGGCUGAUACCGCCCAAGAGUUCAUAUCGACGGCGGUGUUUGGCACCUCGAUGUCGGCUCAUCACAUCCUGGGGCUGAAGUAGGUCCCAAGGGUAUGGCUGUUCGCCAUUUAAAGUGGUACGCGAGCUGGGUUUAGAACGUCGUGAGACAGUUCGGUCCCUAUCUGCCGUGGGCGCUGGAGAACUGAGGGGGGCUGCUCCUAGUACGAGAGGACCGGAGUGGACGCAUCACUGGUGUUCGGGUUGUCAUGCCAAUGGCACUGCCCGGUAGCUAAAUGCGGAAGAGAUAAGUGCUGAAAGCAUCUAAGCACGAAACUUGCCCCGAGAUGAGUUCUCCCUGAGACUUAGAGUCUCCUGAAGGAACGUUGAAGACGACGACGUUGAUAGGCCGGGUGUGUAAGCGCAGCGAUGCGUUGAGCUAACCGGUACUAAUGAACCGUGAGGCUUAACCUU